CAUAACGCUUGGGAUAAUACACAUAAUUCUGCAUUCAGAUGUGACAUUCUUACAUUCUGAAUAAAAGAUUUCAAUGGAUGAUAAUUUUGAAGUGUCUUCUUCCGGUGUCAUAGAGUCGUAAUUGAGGAAUAGUGAUGCCUAUAGGUGUUUUCAAGAGCUUAUGCAUGGAUUUGCUUGUACUCAUAUGUAUGUGGAUGCAUGAGCUUGUUUGCUUGGUUGGUGUUCAUGACAUUCUCUUUGUGCUUUUAUAUGCCGUACUGAGGGCCGCUAACAAUACUAACGUUAUCAACAACCAAUAUUUCUGACUAUGCCUUCUUACUGAAGUAAUAUCUUAGUGGAAUUAAGUGCAUUAAUAACAAAAAGUUCUCAUGUUUACAUGAUAGUCAUGGAAACACAACCAUCAAUGAACAAUUUCAAAGAUUGAUCAUGUUCUUUCAAGAAAGAUCUUGAGGUUCAUCUUGGCAAUCUUCUUAUCCUUUUAUAAAGAAGGGAGUAGCAGCAUAUUUGGCGAUGGAAAUGAAAUUGCUUGGAGGUUCUGUUCAAAUGUAAGGAGGCUAGCUGUUACGUUUCAAAAGGUUCCUGGUUUGCUACAUUUGCUUCUCUGGGUUGCUUAUGCUAAGUGAUAUUCGGGCAUUUUUUCACUAGCUAUCAGUGAUCUCGAAGGCUGAUAUUACAUAUUGAAGCAUCUGUUCUGUUCUACUGUUCAUAUAAUUGUGAAUGAUGAUAUAACUGUCUUUUAGGUUAGUCUAGCUCAGCUAUAGUUGUCUGAAUGAGAUACUAGAAUGAGUGUAGUCCUCUAUAAACUUUAGUUCUAUUUUUACCUAUGUUGCUAUUUUUGUAUAUGACCUUUUCCUCCUGUUAAACUUCACUUUUUUCUAGUUGAUUAUGUAGGUUAUAAUGUCCUGUUUCCUCCAUCCCAUUGGUUAGGUCUGACAUUGUUGUAUCAGGUAUAAUCAAAAGUUCUGAUGCUUCUUGGUUCGGUAGUUUUAGAAUACAAGAACAAGAUCACUAAUGCAAAAACUGGCUUGUAAAGAUAUCUUUUGCUUGUCUAUUGUCUACUCUGCUUUGUGGUUGACAAACACUGUCGUUGCUUUUAUUUGCCUGGUGCACCAAAAGAUGAUAAUUUGCUCUGAAGUCAAAUCCAAUUUCAAUGAUUUAUUGGAAUUGAUUUAAAGAUUUGUCACAAAGAAACUUUUGGAAGAGGUGAAAGGGUUAUGUUUUUUUGCUUACCGCCCCAUUUGGUGUCACGACAUUAAAUUGAAGCCGAAUACUGGAGGAGGGUUCC
rnacentral:lncRNA from 1 species